rnacentral:misc_RNA from 1 species
GAUGAAGAACGUAGCGAAAUGCGAUAAGUAAUGUGAAUUGCAGAAUUCAGUGAAUCAUCGAAUCUUUGAACGCAUCUUGCGCUCCUUGGUAUUCCUUGGAGCAUGCCUGUUUGAGUAUCAUGAGCAAAUCUCAAAGUCAAUUCCUUUUGUUGAUUCAAUUGGUUUUGCUUUGGACUUGGAGGCCUUGCAGAUUUCACAGUCUGCUCCUCUUAAAUGCAUUAGCUGGAUCUCAGUAAUUAUGCUUGGUUCCACUCGGCGUGAUAAGUAUCACUCGCUGAGGACACUGUUAAAAAGGUGGCCAGGAAAAUACUGAUUGAACCGCUUCUAACGGUCUAUUAAGUUAGACAAUUACCCUUAAGUUUGAUCUCAAAUCAGGUAGGACUACCCGCUGAACUUAAGCAUAUCAAUAAGCGGAGA